UACGAAGGGAGCUAGCGUUGUUCGGAAUCACUGGGCGUAAAGCGCACGUAGGCGGAUGUGUCAGUCAGGGGUGAAAUCCCGGAGCUCAACUUCGGAACUGCCCUUGAUACAGCACGUCUUGAGUCCGGAAGAGGUGGGUGGAAUUCCUAGUGUAGAGGUGAAAUUCGUAGAUAUUAGGAAGAACACCGGUGGCGAAGGCGGCCCACUGGUCCGGUACUGACGCUGAGGUGCGAAAGCGUGGGAGCAAACAGG
rnacentral:rRNA from 1 species